rnacentral:rRNA from 1 species
UACGAAGGGGGCUAGCGUUGCUCGGAAUCACUGGGCGUAAAGCGCACGUAGGCGGACUCUUAGGUCGGUGGUGAAAUCCUGGAGCUCAACUCCAGAACUGCCUUCGAUACUGAGAGUCUCGAGUCCGAGAGAGGUGAGUGGAACUGCGAGUGUAGAGGUGAAAUUCGUAGAUAUUCGCAAGAACACCAGUGGCGAAGGCGGCUCACUGGCUCGGUACUGACGCUGAGGUGCGAAAGCCAGGGGAGCAAACGGG